rnacentral:piRNA from 1 species
UGGUCGACAUAACGGAGGACUUCCUG